rnacentral:rRNA from 1 species
UACGUAGGGACCAAGCGUUGUUCGGAUUUACUGGGCGUAAAGGGCGCGUAGGCGGCGCGGUAAGUCACUUGUGAAAUCUCUGAGCUUAACUCAGAACGGCCAAGUGAUACUGCAGUGCUAGAGUGUGGAAGGGGCAAUCGGAAUUCUUGGUGUAGCGGUGAAAUGCGUAGAUAUCAGGAGGAACACCGAUUGCGAAGGCAGCUCGCUGGGACGUUACUGACGCUGAGACGCGAAAGCGUGGGGAGCAAACAGG